rnacentral:lncRNA from 1 species
CUCCUCUUUGGCAUGAUGCAGCAAUCAUGGUGGCAUGAUAAAGUGAAGAUUUUGAAAAUGGCUAACCAGCCAUGGAGCAUUGCUUCUACUCUUGCUCCUGCUCCUGCUACUGCUGCCUGCUCCUGCCUCCUGGAUUGUCCCAGCCAUCUACUCCUGACUUCUCAACCCGGAUCUCUCACCUGA